GUGAGGAAUCUUCCACAAUGGGCGAAAGCCUGAUGGAGCAACGCCGCGUGAAGGAUGAAGGUCUUCGGAUUGUAAACUUCUUUUAUGAGUGAAGAAUAUGACGGUAACUCAUGAAUAAGCACCGGCUAACUACGUGCCAGCAGCCGCGGUCAUACGUAGGGUGCAAGCAUUAUCCGGAGUGACUGGGCGUAAAGAGUUGCGUAGGCGGUUAUGUAAGCGAAUAGUGAAACCUGGUGGCUCAACCACACAGACUAUUAUUCGAACUGCAUAACUCGAGAAUGGUAGAGGUAACUGGAAUUUCUUGUGUAGGAGUGAAAUACGUAGAUAUAAGAAGGAACACCAAUGGCGUAGGCAGGUUACUGGGCCAUUUCUGACGCUAAGGCACGAAAGCGUGGGGAGCGAACCGGAUUAGAAACCCGUGUAGUCC
rnacentral:rRNA from 1 species